UUCAUUCAAUAUAAAAAGAAAAUUCUCAACGUUGGUUUCUUUACAUUUCUACAAUAAAUGGGACCCCAAUAAAUGGGAUCAUCUCAUUCACUGCAAUAGAAUAUUCUACUAUGCUUUUCUCGUUUACUGUGCUCCACAAUUGUUCUUCAACUUUAUUAUUUUUACUUUAUUGUUCAUAUUUUAUUGCUCUUAACUCACCUCGAGGCCCCCGAGAUAAUCGAGCUCGAGGUCCUUAUUGCUCUAACGAUGCUGGUUUGGUUCAUCAAUUCUUCUUACUUAAACCUAAUAUUACUUGUAUAUUCACUAGUAUUGGAAUAAAUCACAUAUCUUUAAAAUCACAAAUCGUAUUUAAUUGUUACUCGUAUUUUUGAGGUAAACAGUUUGGCGUCCACCGUGGGGCUAAAGAUAAUAGUGAUUGUUUCUUUGCUGAUUUUCGUUACACAUGUUAUCUUUACACUUUUUCUUGUCAAGAUUUGUUGAUUUUCAGGCUGAAACAUGUCUAGCACACAAAACGCACCUGUCCAUGGUAACGAAUUCGUCAAGGCCAAGGAUUUUGACAAACUCUAUUUUCAAGAAUUCGUCAAUUAAACCUACAUCUAAUUUCUUUGCAUGCAAACUUGCAGCAGGUAUUUUACCACAAGAGCAAGCAAUGAAAAAGAUGUCAAGGCCAUAUUCGGUGGGAAAAAGAAAUAAUCAUCAGCCAACUUUUCAACAUAAUUCGAAACCUCCACUUUAAAAAUGAAGUCAACAAACAGUGGCCUAAAAUAAAAUGCAGAUUUGGAAAGGUGACGAACAAACUGAAGUAGCUUGAAACAAUCAAUACACUUCUUAUGUCAAGGAAAACACAAUAGUCGAUAAUGGACAAUGCCAUGUUCCAAACGUAGAAAUAUCUGCCUUCGUGUGAAGAAGAUUAAUACUACCUCCUGUCCACAUUAUUUUUAUCAUUUUUGUAACCUAAAUUUAUUUUGAGACAUUUAAGAAAUUAAAAAUUAAUCCUCCAUCCCAAUUUAUUCGAUACAAUUCAAAUUUUGAGAGUCAACUUUUUCAAUAUUGACCGCGAAUUCGGA
rnacentral:lncRNA from 1 species